AGUCUUAACCGGGCGUUAAGUUGCAGGGUAUAGACCCGAAACCCGGUGAUCUAGCCAUGGGCAGGUUGAAGGUUGGGUAACACUAACUGGAGGACCGAACCGACUAAUGUUGAAAAAUUAGCGGAUGACCUGUGGCUGGGGGUGAAAGGCCAAUCAAACCGGGAGAUAGCUGGUUCUCCCCGAAAGCUAUUUAGGUAGCGCCUCGUGAAUUCAUCUCCGGGGGUAGAGCACUGUUUCGGCUAGGGGGCCAUCCCGGCUUACCAACCCGAUGCAAACUGCGAAUACCGGAGAAUGUUAUCACGGGAGACACACGGCGGGUGCUAACGUCCGUCGUGAAGAGGGAAACAACCCAGACCGCCAGCUAAGGUCCCAAAGUCAUGGUUAAGUGGGAAACGAU
rnacentral:rRNA from 1 species